rnacentral:rRNA from 1 species
GACGAACGCUGGCGGCGUGCUUAACACAUGCAAGUCGAGCGGUAAGGCCUUUCGGGGUACACGAGCGGCGAACGGGUGAGUAACACGUGGGUGAUCUGCCCUGCACUUCGGGAUAAGCCUGGGAAACUGGGUCUAAUACCGGAUAUGACCUCCUAUCGCAUGGUGGGUGGUGGAAAGAUUUAUCGGUGCAGGAUGGGCCCGCGGCCUAUCAGCUUGUUGGUGGGGUAAUGGCCUACCAAGGCGACGACGGGUAGCCGACCUGAGAGGGUGACCGGCCACACUGGGACUGAGACACGGCCCAGACGCCUACGGGAGGCAGCAGUGGGGAAUAUUGCACAAUGGGCGGAAGCCUGAUGCAGCGACGCCGCGUGGGGGAUGACGGCCUUCGGGUUGUAAACCUCUUUCAGCAGGGACGAAGCGCAAGUGACGGUACCUGCAGAAGAAGCACCGGCUAACUACGUG